CCGCUCUCUCUUUUUGGUUUGCUUUUUUGCUUUUUUCACGCCUUCACGAGCUCCGGGCGAUUCAGAACAUUUUUUCUGAUUUCUCUUAGUGUUGUGAAAGUGCUGCAGUGCAGCAUUUCUUGACCCUCUUCUCCUUUUGUUUUGUUAAUCACACUGUACUUAGGGCGGGUCUUGAGUGUUCCGUUUUUGGUAGGAUGUGCGGAUGUUGUGGUCAAUACCAAAUCUCACUAUUGUUGUUCAUUUAGUAAUUAUUUUCUUAGUGCAAUAUUACGACUGGAGCGAUCACUUAGGAUCUUGUCGCUCCCUCCCUGCCUUGUUAUUGUGAAGCGAUGUUCAAAUGAGUUGCCUUUUGUAGUGGGAAGCGACAACUCAAGUGCCAAUCUAGGCUUGCUGCAAAAUUCUUCACGGCGCAAUUACUCUUGGCAUGGUCCUGUAUUCUUUUGUACUGAUAAGAGCAACGGCGUUGAUUUUUUUGCUGAAACAAAGGCGUACUGCAACAUUGCUUGAAUUUUUAAUCACAAGCAUCCUGUUUUUACAAGUACGAAGUGGUAGAACUCGUGUACAAAAAUUGAAUUCUAUCAAUUCUUGGAAGGAAUUCAGAAGGGUGUCAAGCGAAUAAGCGCUUGAGCAUCAUGUUGAGCGUAGAUGAUCUUAGAUGUAGAAGUUGGAUCUUAUUACGAUUCCAUAUUACCAUCUAAUAUAUUACAUUCUUGUGCAAUCACCUUGGAACAUCAAAACCAUCAAUUAGGCGGUAAGCAAAUGCAGUGCAUUGAAGGGAUUGGAUUCCUCUAACCACAUGAGUUGAGAACCUACUAAAGGCGUGGCAAGGAUCGAGAGUCAUUGCUCAACAAUAACCAUUAAAAUCUUGAAUGUAGGAGACAUUCGGGGUUCUUCCAUACUAGGACCAAGUAAUUGUGGUAAGCAGAGCACUUCUCUAGGUCCUUGGAAAUUGUGCAAGGAUUGUGGGCUUCCAAAAAUUCAAGUAUCAACAUUGGAUGUAAGCAAGAAAACUAGAUUGUGUGGCUAGGUUGACGACAAUCCACUAGGUUCUUCUUCUUGGUGAUUACAACCCAACAACUGCUGCUACAAAUUCUCGCCAUUGACUACAAUAGGCACAUUACAGAUCUUGAUAGGCGGAAAUGUUGAAUUACCCUUAAAAAGUGUUGAAAUAGAGAAAAAAGGAGUUUAUGACAAAGGUUUUGGAAGUUCAGCGGCUACGAGAAGAAGUCUACAUUAAUACAUCUUGUCAUCUAGUAUUUUGAAGAUUUAGGAAUUCCACAAAGACGAGCUCGUAGCUGAGCUCCUUUUUAUGGAUCUGGCUACCAGAAUUGGUGUAGAAUGCCUCACGAAUCCCGUAAAUCUACUCAUGAUACACGAUUUUCCUGCA